GAUCAUGGCUCAGGAUGAACGCUAGCUACAGGCUUAACACAUGCAAGUCGAGGGGCAUCAGUUUGGUUUGCUUUGCAAACCAAAGCUGGCGACCGGCGCACGGGUGAGUAACACGUAUCCAACCUGCCUCAGUACUCGGGGAUAGCCUUUCGAAAGAAAGAUUAAUAUCCGAUAGCAUAUAUUUCCCGCAUGGGUUUUAUAUUAAAGAAAUUUCGGUAUGAGAAUGGGGAUGCGUUCCAUUAGUUUG
rnacentral:rRNA from 1 species